rnacentral:sRNA from 1 species
UUUUUGUGUCUUCUUUC